rnacentral:rRNA from 1 species
AUUGAACGCUGGCGGCAGGCUUAACACAUGCAAGUCGAGCGGAGCGAGGGUGCUUGCACCUUAGCUUAGCGGCGGACGGGUGAGUAAUGCUUAGGAAUCUGCCUAUUAGUGGGGGACAACAUUCCGAAAGGGAUGCUAAUACCGCAUACGCCCUACGGGGGAAAGCAGGGGAUCUUCGGACCUUGCGCUAAUAGAUGAGCCUAAGUCGGAUUAGCUAGUUGGUGGGGUAAAGGCCUACCAAGGCGACGAUCUGUAGCGGGUCUGAGAGGAUGAUCGGCCACACUGGGACGGAGACACGGCCCAGACUCCUACGGGAGGCAGCAGUGGGGAAUAUUGGACAAUGGGCGGAAGCCUGAUCCAGCCAUGCCGCGUGUGUGAAGAAGGCCUUUUGGUUGUAAAGCACUUUAAGCGAGGAGGAGGCUACUAGUAUUAAUACUACUGGAUAGUGGACGUUACUCGCAGAAUAAGCACCGGCUAACUCUGUGCCAGCCGCCGCCGUAA